AGUCCAUCUCCAACUCCCAACUCCAACAUUACAAACGUCGUACGGCGGCUGUCAGCGCUGCCACAAGCCACAAUCGUUUUUGUGAAAGAUUUCUGGAGUGGAAGGGAAGGUUUUUCUGUGGGAGAUUGCGGAGACUACAAGGUUGUAUUUUUUGUUUCCUGUAUAUUUUAUGUUUUUCCUCUGAUGUCUUGGCUUUCCAAGAGGGCGAUCUCCUCUGCAUCUCAUUUGCUCCAUUAUUUUAGGUAUAUUCCUCUGCUGUUUACUUUGAAAAUGCGUUGAGGUUGUUUUUGAAAGUAUGUAUUUGGAUGUGUUUACUGUGUUUUGUGAAUUCACGCAAGUCCAAAUCUAUGUUUAGUGGGUGCGUUCUGAAUUUUAUUUUUAAGGUCUGUUUCCUGUUCAGUAUCUUAGUUUUUAUUGAAGCUAUGGCAAAAAAGACAUUUAAUACUGAUGAUUAAAUACUAGUUUCUUUAUUUUUAGGAGUUAUGAAGGGUCUACUUUUUUAAUUUCGUAGAGAUACUUACAUUUUUUCAUGCCAAAUGGACCCCAUAAUUUUUUUUUUGAAAUAUAUUUUUUGGGUUAUAAUCUGUGGUUGGGUGGUGUUGUCUUUGAACUAUAUUGUGAAAUUUCUUUGUGGCUGCAUUUGGAUGGAUUUGAAUAAAAUUCAAUACAAUUUUGUAUUAUAUCUGGUCCAAAUCCACUUAAAUCCAAAUUCAAGACUUUUCUCAAACAUAUGGUUCAUGUUUUCUUAAUGUUAUGCACCAGACAGCCCCCUGCUUCUCUGAGUUUGGUUGCAGGGAAACGACGAGAAAGUGGUAUUGUGGUGCUAUAGUGACACUUUGGCAAAAUCAUUCAUUUGCAGUGCUAUGGGCGAGUCUAUCUUGGGCACAUUUGCUUUUGCCAAAAUAAUGCUGUUUUUGCUUGUAUGAAGGCUAUGCUAGAAGCUUCUUUGAAAACAUGCCUAGGUUCAUACAAAUAACUGUAAGUGCAUUUUACUUCAUUUUAAAAGGAAACAUAUGCCAUAUGUUGUUCGACUUGUUUGAUAGGAAUGUUAGUUACCUUUGAUUCAGAACCCUAAUUCUGAAAUCAAUCAUAUCUGCACUGUUGUUCAUAAUUGAUAUGUUGAUUAUGUUCUUCUUUUCAAGUUUCCUUGAUCGAAGCUGAUCAGCCUGGAAGCAAAGUAAAAUGAUGAGGUUUCUUGUAUCUGAAUUUUGAUGUGGAAUCUCAUGUCCCAAUGGUCUUCAAAGUUCUCUGAUUACUUUGCUCCACUUUGUGCUUGGUAUUGUAACCUGUAGUAUUUUUUUUUGUGGAUCAUGGAAGAGUGGAAUAGAAUAAAACUUGUCACUUCCACAUUUGCUUAUUAUUUCAUUUAUUUGUUCAUUUUUUUUCUAUUUCAUUCCAUUAUGCUCCCAUCUCAUUCCAUUCCAUAUGAGAUAAUAGUUGUAGCUAUAAAUGCGAAGACUUCAUCUUGUUGCAGCUUCCAACCUGAUGGCAAGCUAAAAUUUUAUGCCUCAGCUGUUCAUCAAAGUUGUCAUUGGUUGAUUUGGUAAGCAUAGAAUUAUAUCUAAUGUGCAUGCACCUAGAUUGGCUUUGUAUUAUAUCGACUGCCCUAGCAUGUGUGGCCUCUUCUGAUUAUAAUUUUUGUGUUCUGCCAGCAAUAUUAGCACCAAAAUUCAUAGUCUGACAAGCACUUACCUUUCAGGCUAUACGAGCAUGGUGCAAUAUAGAACUUCUCUUCGUUCACUUUUGCUUGACUUUUUCCUUUUAAGAUGUCAAGACCAUCAAGAACUAAGAAGACAGUUUGAUAUCGUUACUCAGUGUAGAUCCUUGAAUUGUUUUUCAGCAUUCACCAUAAAUUUGGUGGGUGGGAAUCUAACAGAAUUUAGAUUAAGAGCAAAAUUAUUAUUCAAUUUCAGCAUAAUUGCUUUUGUGGAACUGUGGGCUAUUGUGAUUUUGCUUUGUUAUUUUGCUUUUCUAUCUUCUUCUUCCUUCAUUUUAAGCUAAUUUUAUGUGGCUGGUUAACCUCUUAAGAGUUUCUUCUCAGGAGAUCUCAGUUUAUAAAAUAUUUGAAAAGUCAUUUUUGAAAAAAAGGAAACUUCCCUGUCUUUUGUGCAAGUUGGUUUGCUGCAUUUUUAUUUUUAUUUUUUAUUUUGCAUCAUUUUAAUCUAUUAUAUUAUGUACAUUUUGUGAAUUGUGAAAUGUAUACUAGCAGUGUUUUGAUCUACAUUUUUUAUUAUUUUUUAGAUUUGUGGGUAUUGUAUUUUAGAUUUUUAUUUCUUUGAAUUAUGUAUCAAGUUUAUUUCCAAGUCAUAAAAAAUUAUAUUCAGUAUUUUAUUUCCAAUUCACAAAAAGUCAAAUUUAAUUCACAAACUGUGUGAUAUAAUGUCUGAAAAAUUAAGAACUAAGAUGUCUGUAUUUUUGGUAAUUAUUUUGACAUUUAGAAAUUAAAAAGAAAAAAAUAUUUUGCAUGACAAAGUUAAUAGUUUAUAUUUUUUUACCUCUUUUUUUAAUAUAAAUUUUCGAAAUGUUAUAAGUAACUUAAUUUUUAAAUUUUAAAAAAUAAAAUGUUUUUCACAAUUAAGUGGGUACCUGUAUUUAAUAGAAUGAUUUGAUAAAAAAUGAAACCGUGGGAAUGAACAAGACAUUGUGUUUGACUUUCUUUUUUAGAUUCUCUAUAAGGAAUCAUUUAGAGAAUAAUACUUUGUUAAAAAUAUAUGCAUCGAAUGAAAGUAGUUUGGAAUUACUUACCCAUUUAACUAGUCAUUAGUUAAUAAAUACCCUAAGAUACUCCUUAUCAAGACUCGAAUUCUAUAUAGAUGACUAUGUACAAGUCUUAUAAUUUUGAUAAAACUUUAAAUAAUAAAAUUAGUGCAAGCAUAUCUCUUUUCCUUAUUAAAAAUUAAAUUUUACGGAGUCCUUCAAUUUGAAUAAAAUAUAAUAAAAAAUUAUAUUAAAAUUUUUUCAAAUUUAAAGCUUAAAAUUCAUGUUUCCAAAAAUAGUAUAAAUGCAUUUCAUUUUAUCAGGAUGAAAAUGCAGUUUCAACUAUGACGGUUAAGGCAAAAUUUUAAGAGCUUCAUGAAUGCAAAGGUGCAAUGAUUGGGAAGGAAGAUUUAGGAAAUAUUAGCACUUAAUAAUGUGAUACAUCUAUUAAUAAUUGUAUCUUAUUUAUCAUUCAUUUAUCGAAAGUUUUGUUAGGUGCCCUUGCCAGUUGUUUUCUUCUAUGCUGAUACAUGUAGGUGAAUCUUGCUUUCUUCUUUGAAUUUUUCUAAGGAAAAAAUUAUGAAAAGAAGUGUUUUGUUAUGAAAUAUUGGUGGAUGGCAUGUCAACUAUGAAUCUGCCUCAUAUAUUGAAUCUGUUUCAUAUGUCUGUACUAAUUAUGUUUCUAUGUGAACUUGUUCUAAUGUUUGUACUAAAAAAGUUAGCAUUAGUUAGCUUGUGAAGGCUAUAAAUACCACCUCCUCCCAUAGCCAGUGCAAGAAAGAAAAGUGGAGUAGAUAAAGAGAAGAGAGAUAUCUUGUACAAGAUUGGUUCCAAAUCAUCUUAUAAAUUUACCCGUGAUAGUGAAGUUUUUGAUUUCAUCCGCUCGUGAAGUAGAUAUAGUCGAACGACGUAAAUUUCUGUCUCGUCUUAUUUAAUUUUUUAUAUCUUUUAUAACAUGUUUUAAGUUUUGAUAAUGUUAUUAUGUUUUAUAUUGCCAAAUUAUAGCAUUAUUUCUAUAUAAUUGGAUGUUUUAUAGACAAUGAAAGAUUGUUUUGAUCUUUUCUAAGUCGAAUGCCGAUUGUAAUAUGAUAUAACUCCCUCUCUUUCUCCAUAAAAAUGGUGUUAUUAUUUC